GAAGUGACCAAGUUCACUCCUGGAUGCUAGCUACAAGCCAAGCCUUAGACACUGUCUGGAGAAUGGCAAAAGGCUUUGUGAUGUUGGCAGUUUCAUUUCUGGUGGCUGCCAUCUGCUACUUCCGGAGGCUACAUUUAUAUUCAGGGCACAAGCUGAAAUGGUGGAUUGGAUAUCUGCAGAGAAAAUUCAAAAGCUUAUGAGGAGCUAUUUUGGCGGCAUCACAUUAAAUGUGUUCGACAAGUAAGGAGAGAUAACUAUGAUGCUCUCAGAUCAGUGUUAUUUCAGAUAUUCAGCCAGGGCAUCUCUUUUCCAUCAUGGAUGAAAGAAAAGGACAUUGUUAAGCUUCCUGAAAAACUGCUGUUUUCACAAGGUUGUAAUUGGAU
rnacentral:lncRNA from 1 species